rnacentral:lncRNA from 1 species
ACGAAAUUCGUUCCUACCCCGUCCUCCACCUCCCUCUGUACCUACUUACUGCCCAGCCCCCUCGCCCACUUACAAUACCCUUAUAUGGUCCUCACUCCUCACCUGCGACGCCUGUCCUCGCCCGCUUCUGAUUGGUGCUAUGAUAUGACGUACAUCUAUAUGUAUGACGUGUGUGUAUGACGUUUGAAUAUAGCGGCCGACGCCGAACGCCGAGCAGUAGCUGUGAAAGGAUCAAUCGAAAGCCAACCGCCGUAGCGGCCUGACGUAUCGUUAUUCAAAGUCUCGGCCGACUGUUUAUUACUUUUGGAUUCUGUCGUCAAAUUUGCAAUACAUACUUCAAGAAAAGAAAAACCGUGUUGGUUAUACGGCUCGAACAAGAGGUCCCCAAACAGACUAUCACAGAAGAAGAAAUUGUUUAUUUACUUUUUACAUUUGUUACAAAUGGUGCCGUGACCCGGAUCAAAUAAAAAACUCAAGAAUUGAAAUUGGUUCCGCAAGAAAUUGCUCUACAAGUCUACGAACAAGAUGUGGGCAAGACCGUUCUUCCUGACAUUCCUGUUCUAUCUGACAUCUCCGACAACGGCCAACGUUCUCUUCCUGCCCCGAGGCCAUCUCUACGCUUCAUACGACCACUGGACUCUUCACAUCCCCAUCGAAACCAGGACAUUAUGGACGUUUGUAUUGAAGCUGGAGCAUCAUGUGAAGCUCUUUAAAAGUAAAGUCAGUAGUAUAUUUGCAGAGCACCGCCAACAAUUGCGAAGUGACCAGGCAAUUCAGCUUUUUGCUAAGUUUAACCAGAGCGUAAAAGUUAUUGACAUUGUAAUAGAUACUUGGUCAAAUGCGGUACUUGUUGAUUUUUCGGAAACUAAUGUUUCACUCCCCGAAGCCGUAAACUUCAUUCCCCCACUUCAGGACAAAAGUGUCCAUUUGUCUAACUUGAAGAAACAUAUUCAACAGAUUCGAGUACGCAAUGCUCAGCAUAAUAAAACUGUCGUUAUCCCCGCCAUCUCGGUCACAACGUGUAUUGUGGUUGCGUUAGUGCUAUUAACUGUUCUAUACGUCCGAUGUCAUGUGUUUAAACCCAUUAUGAUCCGACCCCAGAAAGUAUCCGCUCAAAAUCCUGCCCCUGACAGCGUUAUUGUUGAAGAAACGUCAAGUGUAGCUCCAAAUAUCAAGCCCCGGGAAAAACUCACGGACCCAAGUCCCUCGUGCUUAAAAUGGUUAAAACCGUCUCCAACCCUCGCUUCUCAGAAAUCCGCAGAUGCCUGAUGCAAAUAUUUUCCAGAGGAGUUCUUUCUCCGCAGCAGAGGUACCAGUAGCGGCGCUCCCACACUCGGUCGAGCCGCCGCCGGUGCUAGUCAGCGCCACUGAGAUCGGGCCGCCCCGCAUCGGACACCCCACGUCCGGGCGCCCCGAUAAAACUACGCUGACGCGUGGUCUGGUCAGCCGACACCGGACGGACGACCCACAACAAUACGCGAGACGUGAGAACGUCAAUGUGUCAAUAUCUGACACACGAUCUGGUGUCAAUGGACAAUGGACGGACAAACACGUGUCAGACAGCAGCGUCAAAGGUGACCUAAACCCUCUGAACUCUCUGAACUCCCUGAACUGAUGUGCCCGCAGCGGAAUUUUACCAGUGAUUGCGAAGCGAGAACCGAAUCGAUGAGCACGAGUGGGACAGUAGACUAUGUUUCGUAAGCGGACAAUGAAGAAGACUCUAUAGACUUAUAGCUACGAGGACUACAACGA